AGUUCACCUAGAUAUCUAAAGUCCUAUUAAAUGUUUAGAGAUUCCCUCCGUACACAGCCCAUCCUUGUAAUUUUCAAUUAUCCAGCCAAUCUAAUUAGUAAUCCGAGGAUGACAUUAAUACAAAUAUAAUGAAGUCUGUGAUGGCCAGAUUAGCAGAGCAGGCACUGAUAGCCUUAAAGGAACAUUACACCUUGGCACGUAUGUAAUCAAUGCAACAAAGGGUAAAAUCUUGCUUAAAAAAAAAAAAAAACCCUCUAGCAAAAUCGCGCACAUCAGGCUUAGCGGUUCAAGUGCCAAUUAACAAAUUCAGCGCAUUGCUGAGCGCUGCUUAUCUGCCUCGAAAAUGCCAGGGACUGCAGUUUGUGCAGGAAACUUCGCGUGUCUCGCUCCCUCUCCCAAGACUUUGCAAUGAGAAGAGAGGCAGAAAGAAGAAGGAGAGAGACUGCGGCUCCCUUCGCGGGACUCGGUGGGGUGCGAGUCUCCGAUUCAAACGCAGCCACACAAUGAAACAGAACAAGCCCCCCCACCCCGCCCCGCACACACACGCAGGCUGGAAAGGAGCCCCGCGGAAGCCGGAGGGAACCCGUGGCCUAAUCCAAAAUUCACGUCUUCGGAUCAGGACCUCGGGUGCUUGAUAAACAUUGCAUAGCUAUAAACGGUAUGGUCUUGUUCUUCAGACUUUAAGACCAUCAGCUUCUACUUCAUCCAGGCCCUUGCUUCAAGAACUCACUUUACCUGUACCGUAGGAUGCAAAAACACAUUCUGCAUGAAGACAAUACAUUGGCUAUUUAUACAUCAGAGACAAGUAAUUAUUGGGUUUCAAGGAAUUGUAGCAUUUAAUAAAAGUAUUUUAUUACAUUUAAAUUUGUUAAAAUUUAAAGUUAACAUGUUAAUUAUGACUAUUGGAUGUGGACUGAUGCUGACAGUAGGAAAUAGAUCCAAACAACUGCUCUACAGAGAUAUGUUCACUAGUCGUGUUUGCUCUUUGAUUACUAACGUAUUAAUAGUGCUCUUAAAUUAGGACUUGAUUCAUUAACAAAAAGACCUAUAUGGACAUUAUGUAAAUUUGUCUUGUGUCUUUUAUUCAGCUAACAGGGCAUGUAUUAUAAAUCUAAUUGAAAAUGUACUCAGUUAUAUCCUGACUUGUGGGCAAGGUUUAGCUAAAUGCAUAGCUGCACACAGAAGUCAAAUAAGGGCCUAUAAACCGCCCUGUUUUGCUAGAUGACUUCCAAUUUAUGCAAAUCUGUAUUCAAUAAAGCAGCAUUAGAACUACAUUGCAGUAUUUCUACAGCAAAAUGGUGGCAGGGGAGCGAGAAGAAAUUGUCAACUGUCUCUUGUAUCUAUCAUAACUUCAUUGCCACUUGUAACCAGCCAUCCCUUUUAUGUUUAACCAAAAACCCUCCAUAUUUUAUUUUUCAAUUGAGGUGUUUGAUUAUUCCACUGCAGCAUCUGUAAAGUUACAUUCUUAUGGCUCACAUCAGGUGAAAUUUAGUUAUAGUCAUAAAGAACAUGAAAGGCUUA